rnacentral:rRNA from 1 species
UACAGAGACUGCAAGCGUUAUUCGGAUUCACUGGGCGUAAAGGGUGCGCAGGCGGCCAAGUGUGUGAGGCGUGAAAGCCCCGGGGGCUUAACCCCGGAAUUGCACCUCAAACUACAUGGCUAGAGCAUUGGAGAGGGUAGCGGAAUUCACGGUGUAGCAGUGAAAUGCGUAGAUAUCGUGAGGAACACCAGAGGCGAAGGCGGCUACCUGGACAAUUGCUGACGCUCAGGCACGGAAAGCGUGGGGAGCAAAAGGG